CGGGGCUUGGUGCCUUAUCUUCUGAUUUGACUGGACUGGGUGCUUUCUCAUCCAGAGAAAUAGCGCUCAAUUUUCUUUCUACUUCCUCGUCGGGGCUUGGUGCCUUCUCAUCAAGCUCAACAGGACUAGGUGCCUUCUCAUCGAGCUUGACUGAGCUUGGCUCCUUUUCGUCAGGCUUGACAGGGCUUGGUGCCUUGUCUUCUGAUUUGAUUGGACUGGGUGCUUUCUCAUCCAGAGAAAUAGCGCUCAAUUUUCUUUCGUCUUCCUUGACGGGGCUUGGUGCCUUCUCAUCGAGCUCAACAGGACUAGGUGCCUUCUCAUCUGGCUUGACGGGGCUUGGCGCUUUCUCGUCAGGCUUGACGGGGCUUGGCGCCUUCUCCCUGAGCUCAACAGGGCUAGAUGCCUUCUCAUCGAGCUCAACAGGACUAGAUGCCUUCUCAUCGAGCUCAACAUGACUCGGUGCCUUCUCAUCGAGCUUGGAUGGGCUUGGCUCUUUUUCGUCAGGCUUGACGGGGCUUGGAACUUUGUCAUCAUGUUCAAGAGGGCUUGGCGCCUUCUCAUCGG
rnacentral:lncRNA from 1 species